UUGCCGUGGAUCCUUAUGGAAGACAUAACUAUACCCUAUACGGCCCAUCAUGUGGUUUUCACAAACAAUAUACUAAUUAUUUAUUACAAAUAUGAUCCUCCAUCCAGAAGCGGGAUGGCAAGGACCACUUGGGGGUAUCUGUCCUCAUCACAAUCGAUGCUUCAGACUGGAGAGUACAGGAGAUCACUUGUUUCUUUGGGAAGCCACUUACAGAGCAUGUCUUUGCCAUCCC
rnacentral:lncRNA from 1 species